rnacentral:rRNA from 1 species
GCAGCGAUCAGUAGCUGGUCUGAGAGGACGAUCAGCCACACUGGGACUGAGACACGGCCCAGACUCCUACGGGAGGCAGCAGUGGGGAAUUUUCCGCAAUGGGCGAAAGCCUGACGGAGCAAGACCGCGUGAGGGAGGAAGGCUCUUGGGUUGUAAACCUCUUUUCUCAGGGAAGAAGCUCUGACGGUACCUGAGGAAUCAGCCUCGGCUAACUCCGUGCCAGCAGCCGCGGUAAUACGGAGAAGGCAAGCGUUAUCCGGAAUUAUUGGGCGUAAAGCGUCCGCAGGUGGCGAUUCAAGUCUGCUGUCAAAGCACGGGGCUUAACUCCGUUAAGGCAGUGGAAACUGAAUAGCUAGAGUGCCGUAGGGGUAGAGGGAAUUCCCGGUGUAGCGGUGAAAUGCGUAGAGAUCGGGAAGAACAUCGGUGGCGAAAGCGCUCUACUGGACGGCAACUGACUCUCAGGGACGAAAGCUAGGGGAGCGAAUGGGAUUAGAUACCCCAGUAGUCCUAGCUGUAAACGAUGGAUACUAGGUGUAGCUUGUAUCGACCCGAGCUGUGCCGAAGCUAACGCGUUAAGUAUCCCGCCUGGGGAGUACGCACGCAAGUGUGAAACUCAAAGGAAUUGACGGGGGCCCGCACAAGCGGUGGAGUAUGUUGGUUUAAUUCGAUGCAACGCGAAGAACCUUACCAGGGCUUGACAUGUCCGGAAUCCCG